GAGGGUAUAACUCAGUGGUAGAGCUAGUGCUUAGCAUGCACAAGGUCCUGGGUUCAAUCCCCAGUAACUCCA
rnacentral:tRNA from 1 species